GUUGGGUAGGGGAGCGUUCUGUAAGCCUGCGAAGGUGUACUGUGAGGUAUGCUGGAGGUAUCAGAAGUGCGAAUGCUGACAUAAGUAACGAUAAUGCGGGUGAAAAACCCGCACGCCGGAAGACCAAGGGUUCCUGUCCAACGUUAAUCGGGGCAGGGUGAGUCGACCCCUAAGGCGAGGCUGAAAAGCGUAGUCGAUGGGAAACGGGUUAAUAUUCCCGUACUGGUGGUAACUGCGAUGGGGGAACGGAGAAGGCUAGGUUGUCCGGGCGACGGUCGUCCCGGUUCAAGCAGGUAGGCAGAGUGAUUAGGCAAAUCCGGUCACUUAAUGCUGAGAUGUGAUGACGAACCACCAAGGUGGUGAAGCAAUUGAUGCCCCGCUUCCAGGAAAAGCCUCUAAGCUUCAGGUUACCAACAAUCGUACCCCAAACCGACACAGGUGGUCAGGUAGAGAAUACUCAGGCGCUUGAGAGAACUCGGGUGAAGGAACUAGGCAAAAUGGUGCCGUAACUUCGGGAGAAGGCACGCUGGCGGUAGGUAAAGUCCCUCGCGGACGGAGCUGAAGCCAGUCGAAGAUACCAGCUGGCUGCAACUGUUUAUUAAAAACACAGCACUGUGCAAACACGAAAGUGGACGUAUACGGUGUGACGCCUGCCCGGUGCUGGAAGGUUAAUUGAUGGGGUUAGCCGUAAGGCGAAGCUCCUGAUCGAAGCCCCAGUAAACGGCGGCCGUAACUAUAACGGUCCUAAGGUAGCGAAAUUCCUUGUCGGGUAAGUUCCGACCUGCACGAAUGGCGUAAUGAUGGCCAGGCUGUCUCCACCCGAGACUCAGUGAAAUUGAACUCGCUGUGAAGAUGCAGUGUACCCGCGGCAAGACGGAAAGACCCCGUGAACCUUUACUAUAGCUUGACACUGAACAUUGAGCCUUGAUGUGUAGGAUAGGUGGGAGGCUUUGAAGUGUGGACGCCAGUCUGCAUGGAGCCAACCUUGAAAUACCACCCUUUAACGUUUGAUGUUCUAACCUAGGCCCAUAAACUGGGUCGGGGACCGUGUCUGGUGGGUAGUUUGACUGGGGCGGUCUCCUCCUAAAGAGUAACGGAGGAGCACGAAGGUUGGCUAAGCAUGGUCGGACAUCAUGCGGUUAGUGCAAAGGCAUAAGCCAGCUUGACUGCGAGAGUGACGGCUCGAGCAGGUACGAAAGUAGGUCUUAGUGAUCCGGUGGUUCUGAAUGGAAGGGCCAUCGCUCAACGGAUAAAAGGUACUCCGGGGAUAACAGGCUGAUACCGCCCAAGAGUUCAUAUCGACGGCGGUGUUUGGCACCUCGAUGUCGGCUCAUCACAUCCUGGGGCUGAAGUAGGUCCCAAGGGUAUGGCUGUUCGCCAUUUAAAGUGGUACGCGAGCUGGGUUUAGAACGUCGUGAGACAGUUCGGUCCCUAUCUGCCGUGGGCGUUGGAAGAUUGAGAGGGGUUGCUCCUAGUACGAGAGGACCGGAGUGAACGCACCACUGGUGUUCGGGUUGUCAUGCCAAUGGCAUUGCCCGGUAGCUAAGUGCGGAAGAGAUAACCGCUGAAAGCAUCUAAGCGGGAAACUUGCCUCGAGAUGAGUCUUCCCUGUCGCUUUAAGCGACCUAAAGGAACGUUUAAGACUAAGACGUUGAUAGGCUGGGUGUGUAAGCGUAGCGAUACGUUGAGCUAACCAGUACUAAUGAACCGUGAGGCUUAACCUG
rnacentral:rRNA from 1 species